rnacentral:rRNA from 1 species
UUAGUGGCGGACGGGUGAGUAACGCGUGGAUAACCUGCCGUAUACCGGGGGAUAACACUUAGAAAUAGGUGCUAAUACCGCAUAAGCGCACGGCUCCGCAUGGGGCAGUGUGAAAAACUCCGGUGGUAUACGAUGGAUCCGCGUCUGAUUAGCUAGUUGGCAGGGUAACGGCCUACCAAGGCGACGAUCAGUAGCCGGCCUGAGAGGGUGUACGGCCACAUUGGGACUGAGACACGGCCCAAACUCCUACGGAAGGCAGCAG